rnacentral:tRNA from 1 species
UCCUGUAGCGCAAUGGAUAGCGCGUUGGACUUCUAACCCACAGGUUGUGGGUUCGAGUCCCACCUGGGGAG